rnacentral:tRNA from 1 species
CACCCUAGCCUAGAAACUUAGGAUAACCCACCACCUCGAAACCGAAGGCCUUCAAAGCCUUAAAUAAGAGUUAAACCCUCUUAGUUUCUG